rfam:Jatropha curcas cultivar GZQX0401 scaffold502_99, whole genome shotgun sequence.
AAAAAACCAUGGCCUCGUUGCCUCUUGUGAACUGGGUUCUCAUACACAUCAGGAAAAUUAUUCUCAUUGUUAUUGGGUGAACCUCUGUAUUUAAUGGUGACGUGUGGUUCAGUAAAUGAUGGAACAUUU